UAAGCUAGUGAACUGAAACAUCUAAGUAGCUAGGCAAAAAAAUCAACCGAGAAACCGUAAGUAGUGGCGAGCAAAAGCGGAAUUGAUUAACCUUAAUAACUAUAUGAGAGAUGCUUAAAAAACUAAUUAACCAAAGAAGGUAACAUAAAUUAAAUAGUAUGAAGUCCUGUAAAGCAUAUCUUAAAAAUUUAAGGUAAAAAGUAAAAUGAUACAUGUCAUGUAUUAUUCUAAUAUUGGGGUACCACCCUCAAAAUCUGAAAAGUAUUAAUGAUUGAUAGUGAAUAAGUACCGUAAGGGAAAGGUGAAAAAGAAUUUUUGAAUCUGAAAAGAACUUGAAAUUUAAUGUUUUUAAUCAGUUGUUGCUUAUAACAAAAGCGGCAGCGUUCCUUUUGCAUAAUGAAUCAAUGAGUUUAUAUCAAUGGCGAGCUUAAACAGUAAAAAGUGUAAGCUAAAAAAACCUAAGUUUUAA
rnacentral:rRNA from 12 species